rnacentral:rRNA from 1 species
AGCAGCCGCGGUAAUUCCAGCUCCAAUAGCGUAUAUUAAAGUUGUUGCAGUUAAAAAGCUCGUAGUUGAAUUUCGGGAUCAUUAGGUUGGUCGUGCCUCUGGUAUGUACUGAUUUCGGUGGUUCCUACUUCUUGAAGAACCGUAAUGCCAUUAAUUUGGUGUUGCGGGGAAACAGGACUGUUACUUUGAAAAAUUAGAGUGUUUAAAGCAGGCAAUCGCUUGAAUACAUUAGCAUGGAAUAAUGAAAUAGGACGUUCGAUCCUAUUUUGUUGGUUUCUAGGAUUGACGUAAUGAUUAAUAGGGAUAGUUGGGGGCAUUAGUAUUCAAUUGUCAGAGGUGAAAUUCUUGGAUUUAUUGAAGACUAACUACUGCGAAAGCAUUUGCCAAGGAUGUUUUCAUUAAUCAAGAAC